rnacentral:rRNA from 1 species
GAUGAACGCUGGCUACAGGCUUAACACAUGCAAGUCGAGGGACCGGCGCACGGGUGAGUAACACGUAUCCAACCUGCCCUUUACUCGGGGAUAGCCUUUCGAAAGAAAGAUUAAUACCCGAUGUAAAGGAUGGGGAUGCGUUCCAUUAUGUUGUUGGUGAGGUAACGGCUCACCAAGCCUUCGAUGGAGAGGGGUUCUGAGAGGAAGGCACCCUACAUCUGAACUGAGGCACGGUCCAAACUCCUACGGGAGGCAGCAGUGAGGAAUAUUGGGCAAUGGGCGUUAGCCUGAACCAGCCAAGUAGCGUGAAGGAUGAAGGCUUAUGGGUCUUAAACUUCUUUUAUAGAAGAAUAGGUAUUAUAUGAAUAAGGAUCGGCUAACUCCGUGCCAGCAGCCGCGGUAAUUC